CGCAGAUUAGUAGUAAUGGUAACUCGUUGGACUCAUUAUCCAAAGUUAGAGGUUCGAAUCCUCUAUCUGCAA
rnacentral:tRNA from 1 species